ACGGGGGCGGCCCCUCCUGGCGCCAGGCGCCUCCCGGUCUCUGCACUGUGACCCGCGGGGCCGCGUCAGUCUGGGGGCGCCUUCGCGCUUGUUUCCCCUUCCUGCCCGAUAGCCCGGCGGCUCCUCAGGCGCGGCGGAGCUUUGAGGGUCAGGAGUUUCUACUCCCUCACGUCAAGAGGCGAACCACCCCUCCUUCAUCUCUCACUGACCAGGGGCCCCGGAGACUGGCCACUGGGAAUUUCUGCUCUCUCACAUCAAGUUGCAAAGCCUCCCGCACUUCUCAUCUUUCCAUGAUCAGGUGUCCCAGGCUACUGGGUCUGGAGAGCAGAACCAGGAGGACCUGAUCAUCACCAGGUGAUAAUCAAAAGAGCCAACGAAAAAGAACACUUUUACCUGUUUUGGCAUGGAUUUGGGGCAGCCCUGAACUG